rnacentral:rRNA from 1 species
GAUGAACGCUGGCGGCGUGCCUAAUACAUGCAAGUCGAGCGAACAGACGAGGAGCUUGCUCCUUUGACGUUAGCGGCGGACGGGUGAGUAACACGUAGGUAACCUACCUAUAAGACUGGGAUAACUUCGGGAAACCGGAGCUAAUACCGGAUAAUAUUUCGAACCGCAUGGUUCGAUAGUGAAAGAUGGCUUUGCUAUCACUUAUAGAUGGACCUGCGCCGUAUUAGCUAGUUGGUAAGGUAACGGCUUACCAAGGCAACGAUACGUAGCCGACCUGAGAGGGUGAUCGGGCACACUGGAACUGAGACACGGUCCAGACGCCUACGGGAGGCAGCAGUAGGGAAUGUUCCGCAAUGGGCGAAAGCCUGACGGAGCAACGCCGCGUGAGUGAUGAAGGUCUUCGGAGCGUAAAACUCUGUUAUUAGGGAAGAACAAACGUGUAAGUAACUGUGCACGUCUUGACGGUACCUAAUCAGAAAGCCACGGCUAACUACGUG